AGUGAACGCUGGCGGUAGGCCUAACACAUGCAAGUCGAACGGCAGCACAGUAAGAGCUUGCUCUUACGUGCGUCGCGUGGCGGACGGGUGAGGUAUACAUCGGAAUCUACUUUUUCGUGGGGGAUAACGUCGGGAAACUUCCGCUAAUACCGCAUACGACCUACGGGUGAAAGCCGGGGUUCUUCGAACCUUGUGCUAUUGAAUGAGCCGAUGUCGGCUUAGCUCGUUGGCGGGGUAGAGGCCCACCAAGGCGACGAUCCGUAUAUGGUCUGACAGGGUGAUCAGCCACACUGGAACUGAGACACGGUACAGACUCCUACGGGAGGCAGCAGUGGGGAAUAUUGGACGAGGGGCGCAAGCCUGAUCCAGCCAUACCGCGUGGGUGAUGAAGGACUUCGGGUGGUAGAGCCCUUUUGUUGGGAAAGAAAAGCAGCAGGUUAAUACCCCGCGGUUCUGACGGUACCCAAAGAAUAAGCACCGGCUAACUUCGUG
rnacentral:rRNA from 1 species